rnacentral:pre_miRNA from 1 species
AUCACAUGGGGACCUUGUGAAAAGGCAGAUUCUGAUUUAGUAGGUUUGGUGGGCGGUCUGAAAUUCUGCAUUUCUAACCAGUUCCCAGGUGAUGCAGA